rnacentral:rRNA from 1 species
ACUCAAAUGAAUAGACGGGGGCCCGCACAAGCGGUGGAACAUGUGGUUUAAUUCGACGCAACGCGAAGAACCUUACCUGGGCUUGAACUACGGAUGGUAAGCACCUGGAAACAGGAGCUGACCCGCAAGGGAGUCCGCAGAGGUGCUGCAUGGUUGUCGUCAGCUCGUGUCGUGAGAUGUUGGGUUAAGUCCCGCAACGAGCGCAACCCCCAUCUCAUGUUGCUAAUCCCGCAAGGGAUGCACUCUUGAGAAACUGCCUUCGAUAAGAAGGAGGAAGGUGGGGAUGACGUCAAAUCCUCAUGGCCCUUAUGUCCAGGGCUACACACGUGUUACAAUGGUCGGUACAACGGGAAGCAAAGCCGCAAGGUGGAGCAAAACCCUGAAAGCCGACCCCAGUUCGGAUUGUGGGCUGAAACUCGCCCACAUGAAGGCGGAAUCGCUAGUAAUCGCGAAUCAGCAGGUCGCGGUGAAUACGUUCCCGGGCCUUGUACACACCGCCCGU